rnacentral:rRNA from 1 species
AGUGAACGCUGGCGGUAGGCCUAACACAUGCAAGUCGAACGGCAGCACAGUAAGAGCUUGCUCUUACGGGUGGCGAGUGGCGGACGGGUGAGGAAUACAUCGGAAUCUACUUUUUCGUGGGGGAUAACGUAGGGAAACUUACGCUAAUACCGCAUACGACCUACGGGUGAAAGCAGGGGAUCUUCGGACCUUGCGCGAUUGAAUGAGCCGAUGUCGGAUUAGCUAGUUGGCGGGGUAAAGGCCCACCAAGGCGACGAUCCGUAGCUGGUCUGAGAGGAUGGGCACGCCACACGGGAACUGAGACACGGCCCAGCCCCCUGGGGGGGGGGGCGGGGGGAAAUUUGGAACAGGGGGCGAAGCUUUGACCGGGCCAUCCCGGGGGGGUAAAGAAGGCGUUGGGUUUGAAAGGCCUUUUUUUGGGAAAAAAAAACCAGGGGUUAAAACCCCCGGUUUUCUGAGGUUCCCAAAAAAAAAGGCCCCGGCAAGCUUCGUC